AGUGGCUGACCUCCCACUCCAACUACAUAUACACAGCUCCAUACUCUCAGAGAGUCUUGCAUCCCACAAUGGGGGCAAACUGGGAAACCCAGCUUCUGAACUUUGUGGCAUUAGAUUCUGCUGGUUAUCUAUUGGACUCUGACCUUACCCAUGAUGUCAUAACUGUUGCUCAGCCUUCCCACAUUCUCUCACCUGUACUACAUCUUGCAAGAUUCUACAAAAUUUCUGGUCAAGAAAAUGCAUCUGUUUCCCUUUGCUCAUCCUUUACAUAAUUCUGACUCUAAAACUGAGGGUAGGUGGAAAUUUUUUUUUAAUUUGAUUUAACUUUAUUUUUUAUUUUUUAAAAUUUACAUCCAAAUUAGUUAGUAUA